AAGGACACCGCCCGCCGCGCCCCCUGGGCUGGAGGUGCCAGGCCCGUGCGAGUGUUCGCGCUCCCACCAUCUCUACCGGUCCAGGCACAAGCAACAGCUGUGCCUGCCAGCAGCAAUCAGAUCCCAGAGCGCCUCUCUCGCCUUUCACGGUUCUCAGCAGGGUGCCUCACCCGAGCAGGCGGCGUCCGAGUAAACGCCUCCUCCAGGCAGUCCUCGGGUAACAGGCCAAGGAGAAAACUGUGACCAGGACCGUGAAAGCUGACUUGACCUUUUCAGGUCCCCGAACACCAUCUCGACCCCCACUGCCCCGCCUCGUUGAAAAGCGGCCUGUGUCUGGGCAUCAGGCCCUGCAGUAGGAAGACCUUACAUGAAGGAUGCCUUAAGUGUUCCUCGUUGGUAAGAUCCCGGAAUCUUGGAGGCAUUUAGCCUUGUUCUCUACUUGCCUCUUGUUUUUAUCACAC